UAUGAAGGGGGCUAGCGUUGCUCGGAAUCACUGGGCGUAAAGGGCGCGUAGGCGGGUUUUUAAGUCAGGGGUGAAAUCCUGGAGCUCAACUCCAGAACUGCCUUUGAUACUGAAGAUCUUGAGUUCGGGAGAGGUGAGUGGAACUGCGAGUGUAGAGGUGAAAUUCGUAGAUAUUCGCAAGAACACCAGUGGCGAAGGCGGCUCACUGGCCCGAUACUGACGCUGAGGCACGAAAGCGUGGGGAGCAAACAGG
rnacentral:rRNA from 1 species